CACGUAGGGGGCGAGCGUUGUCCGGAUUUAUUGGGCGUAAAGCGCGUGUAGGCGGCCCGGUAAGUCCGCUGUGAAAGUCGGGGGCUCAACCCUCGAAAGCCGGUGGAUACUGUCGGGCUAGAGUGCGGGAGAGGCGAGUGGAAUUCCUGGUGUAGCGGUGAAAUGCGCAGAUAUCAGGAGGAACACCGGUGGCGAAGGCGGGUCUCUGGGCAGUAACUGACGCUGAGGAGCGAAAGCGUGGGGAGCGAACAGG
rnacentral:rRNA from 1 species